GGGAAUGUUACUUAGUGGUAGAGUACUUGCUUCACAUGCAUGAAGCCCAGGGUUCAAUUCCUCAGUACCU
rfam:Dipodomys ordii contig_51119, whole genome shotgun sequence.